rnacentral:rRNA from 1 species
GAUGAACGCUGGCGGCGUGCCUAAUACAUGCAAGUCGAGCGAACGGACGAGAAGCUUGCUUCUCUGAUGUUAGCGGCGGACGGGUGAGUAACACGUGGAUAACCUACCUAUAAGACUGGGAUAACUUCGGGGAACCGGAGCUAAUACCGGAUAAUAUUUUGAACCGCAUGGUUCAAAAGUGAAAGACGGUCUUGCUGUCACUUAUAGAUGGAUCCGCGCUGCAUUAGCUAGUUGGUAAGGUAACGGCUUACCAAGGCAACGAUGCAUAGCCGACCUGAGAGGGUGAUCGGCCACACUGGAACUGAGACACGGUCCAGACUCCUACGGGAGGCAGCAGUAGGGAAUCUUCCGCAAUGGGCGCAAGCCUGACGGAGCAACGCCGCGUGAGUGAUGAAGGUCUUCGGAUCGUAAAACUCUGUUAUUAGGGAAGAACAUAUGUGUAAGUAACUGUGCACAUCUUGACGGUACCUAAUCAGAAAGCCACGGCUAACUACGUG